rnacentral:rRNA from 1 species
AACGAACGCUGGCGGCAUGCCUAACACAUGCAAGUCGAACGAGAUCUUCGGGUCUAGUGGCGCACGGGUGCGUAACGCGUGGGAAUCUGCCAUUUGGUUCGGAAUAACAGUGGGAAACGACUGCUAAUACCGGAUGAUGUCGAAAGUCAGAAGAUUUAUCGCCACAGGAUGAGCCGGCGUAGGAGUAGCUAGUUGGUGUGGUAAAGGCGCACCAAGGCGACGUUCCUUAGCUGGUCUGAGAGGAAGAUCAGCCACACUGGGACUGAGACACGGCCCAGACUCCUACGGGAGGCAGCAGUGGGGAAGAUUGGACAAUGGGCGAAAGCCUGAUCCAGCAAUGCCGCGUGAGUGAUGAAGGCCUCAGGGUUGUAAAGCUCUUUUACCCGGGAUGAUAAUGACAGUACCGGGAGAAUAAGCUCCGGCUAACUCCGUGCCAGCCGCCGCCGUAA